rnacentral:rRNA from 1 species
UACGUAGGGUGCGAGCGUUGUCCGGAAUUAUUGGGCGUAAAGAGCUUGUAGGCGGUUUGUCGCGUCUGCCGUGAAAAUCCGGGGCUCAACCCCGGACUUGCGGUGGGUACGGGCAGACUAGAGUGUGGUAGGGGAGACUGGAAUUCCUGGUGUGGCGGUGAAAUGCGCAGAUAUCAGGAGGAACACCGAUGGCGAAGGCAGGUCUCUGGGCCACUACUGACGCUGAGGUGCGAAAGCGUGGGGAGCAAACAGG